AUAACAAAUUCUUUCUUCUUUCUCUUUCACUCUUUCUCUCGGCUGCUACUGCUUCUCUUCUAGCACAAAGAUUCACCACCAUCACCAGAUUCAUCGAAUCAUCGCCAUCUUGUUCUUCUUAUUCUUCAUCAUCUUAGAAUCCACUAAGUAAUCACAAAUAUACCAUGCAAGGUUCCAAAUCAGCACCCUUGUUUCAGUGGUUGAACUAAGGAUCCGUGCUCUCAAUCAUCUUUAGGGUUUCUCUCGAUUUUGAAGCUAAUUGUUGUAAUUGCGCAGGAAGCAUUAGAGAUUCUUGGCAAUUUGGAGUCAUCUGUACAACAAGGUACUAUUACACCAUUCUAUGGAAAAUGCAACACCAAUCGGCAGACGACGUCAAGUUAGGGCUGCAGUAUGGGAUCACUUUAUUAUGGAAGUGCCACCUUCAAAACAUGCAAAGUGUUGUCACUGUAACGCUAGAUUUGUUGCUGAUCCUAUGAAGAAUGGGACAUCUAGGUUGAUUUUCCAUCUAAAAAGAUGUAGGUUAAUGCUUAAUCAGAUAAGAAAUUGAUUGAAGUCUACUUUGUGUUAGUAUUAGUACAUGAUUGUAAUCUUAAAGCAUUAAAAUUAUGUUUAUGGCAGGUUCAAUUUUGUCAAUUUCAUGUUACUGACAUUUUUAUUGAAAAUUUUACCUGUCGGA